rnacentral:rRNA from 1 species
GACAGAGGGUGCAAGCGUUGUUCGGAAUUAUUGGGCGUAAAGCGCGCGUAGGCGGUCUGCAAAGUCGGGUGUGAAAUCCCGGGGCUCAACCCCGGAAGUGCAUUCGAAACUAACAGACUUGAGUCUCGGAGAGGAUGGCGGAAUUCCUGGUGUAGAGGUGAAAUUCGUAGAUAUCGGGAGGAACACCAGUGGCGAAGGCAGCCCCCUGGGUCAACACUGACGCUCAUGCACGAAAGCGUGGGGAGCAAACAGG